rnacentral:rRNA from 1 species
UACGUAGGGUCCGAGCGUUGUCCGGAAUUAUUGGGCGUAAAGAGCUCGUAGGCGGUUUGGUAAGUCAGGUGUGAAAUCUCCACGCUCAACGUGGAGGGGCCACCUGAUACUGCCAUGACUGGAGUCCGGGUAGAGGAGUGUGGAAUUCCCGGUGUAGCGGUGAAAUGCGCAGAUAUCGGGAGGAACACCCGUAGCGAAGGCGGCACUCUGGGCCGGUACUGACGCUGAGGAGCGAAAGCGUGGGGAGCAACAGGAUUAA